AUCGAAUUCUCAACUUAUACUAAGUGGUGAAAUAGUUAAUAACAGAAAAUGUCUAGGAAAAUAAGUAAAAUUAGAAACUGGGCCGUUUAAGAGUAACCCCUCCCUCAAGGUUGACGUCAAAAAAAAAAAAAACAGAAAAAGGGGAUUGAGGAGAACAAAACAAAAAAAAAGAGGAGAGAACGGUGAGAAGCGGGACAUGGCGAUUUAGCAAAAAACAGCUUUUGAACAGAGAUUUAAAGUGUUUUAAGUUAAGUCGAUCUGUAAGAGAAGUGUUUUGAAAUAUGAGAACAGUGUUCGCUCGUUAGCAGUAAAAGUGGUGCUUACAUUAGACGAUCGCGAUUGCACUGGAUCUGAAGAAAAAAUAGGGAAACAGAAAAAAGUUAAUUCACUCGAGAGAAACCAAAAGAGAGAUUUUUAUUUUUUCCAUCCGGGAUUGUUCUGUUUACUCACUAUUUUUCUUGGUUGGGUUUUUUUUUUUUUGUUGGUUUCUUUUCUUUUCUCUCUCUCUUCUUUGUUUAUUGAUGUUCCUGAGAGCAAUG